AGUGAACGCUGGCGGUAGGCCUAACACAUGCAAGUCGAACGGCAGCACAGUAAGAGCUUGCUCUUACGGGUGGCGAGUGGCGGACGGGUGAGGAAUACAUCGGAAUCUACUUUUUCGUGGGGGAUAACGUAGGGAAACUUACGCUAAUACCGCAUACGACCUACGGGUGAAAGCAGGGGAUCUUCGGACCUUGCGCGAUUGAAUGAGCCGAUGUCGGAUUAGCUAGUUGGCGGGGUAAAGGCCCACCAAGGCGACGAUCCGUAGCUGGUCUGAGAGGAUGAUCAGCCGCACUGGAACGGAGCCACGGUCCAGACUCCUACGGGAGGCAGCAGUGGGGAAUAUUGGACAAUGGGCGCAAGCCUGAUCCAGCCAUACCGCGUGGGUGAAGAAGGCCUUCGGGUUGUAAAGCCCUUUUGUUGGGAAAGAAAAGCAGCAGGUUAAUACCCCGCUGUUCUGACGGUACCCAAAGAAUAAGCACCGGCUAACUUCGUG
rnacentral:rRNA from 1 species